AUGCCGCCACUCUGCCCGAUGCAAAUGGCAUGGAACAUCGACGGCGCCCCCGAAGGACGGCAGGCAGCUUUCGAGCUGGCGUUCGGGAUUGCUCAGGUAACCGGCCUGGCCGAGAUAGUCAUGUGCAACUCGUUCCUCGAGGCCGAGGUCGGGGCAUUCGAGCUGUGCCCGAACAUAGUGCCCGUCGGCCCACUGAUUGCCGACCAGGAGCUCCAGGAGCCCAUCGGGCAGUUCUGGCCGGAAGACGCGAGCUGCUUAGGAUGGCUGGAUAGGCAGCCCGAAGGCUCCGUCAUGUACGUGGCGUUCGGCAGCUUCACCAUCUUCGACCCGCGGCAAUUCCGGGAGCUGGCCGAGGGGCUGGAGCUCGCCGGCCGGCCGUUCCUGUGGGUGGUGCGUCCGGACUUCACCUCUAGCGGCCUCAGCAAGGCGUGGUUCGACGAGUUCCAGAAGCGCGUCGCCGGCAACGGCAUGAUCGUCAGCUGGUGCCCCCAGCAGCAGGUUCUGGCGCAUUCGGCGGUGGCAUGCUUCGUGUCACACCGCGGAUGGAACUCGACGAUGGAGGGGGUGGGGAACGGCGUCCCCAUCCUGUGCUGGCCCUACUUCUCUGACCAGUUCGCGAACCAGAGCUACAUUUGCGACACUUGGAGUACUGGUUUAGGUGUGACGCAUGGCGUG
rnacentral:rRNA from 1 species